CCCUUAGAUGUUCUGGGCCGCACGCGCGCUACACUGACGAAUGCAACGAGCUUAUAACCUUGGCCGAAAGGUCUGGGUAAUCUCCAAAUUUCGUCGUGAUGGGGAUAGAUUAUUGCAAUUAUUAAUCUUCAACGAGGAAUGCCUAGUAAGCGCAAGUCAUCAGCUUGCGUUGAUUACGUCCCUGCCCUUUGUACACACCGCCCGUCGCUACUACCGAUUGAACGUUUUAGUGAGGCAUUUGGACCGACGCUUACCAGUCUAACCGCUGGUUUGUGUUGGAAAGAUUUCCAAACUUGAGCGUUUAGAGGAAGUAAAAGUCGUAACA
rnacentral:rRNA from 1 species